UCCCCUGUUUGGCUAUGUUUGUGGCAAUAAGCAAUUAGCUCUUUGAUCUUCCUAGACCUCAGAUACUGGUUUGCAUCAAGCCUGUUCCCUGGGAAAAGGGGUUAAAAUCAAUCUAUAGUUACUCCAUUUUCUACUUUAAAAGGGGUUUGACUAAUUGACAUAACUAGUUGAACUCAAUAGACAACAACCAAAGACCGGAGCAUCUUAGCAGACACUGGAGAGAAAUCCCUAGUAACUUCGUCGCUCCUAAAUUAUUUGGCAAACUCCAAAACAUGACUUAUAAUAAAUAAUGGUAUAUAGCUUUACAAAGUAGGGUCUUAGAGUACAGUGUACGCAGACUUUACCUCUACCUCAAAGGUAAAGAAGAGAGACUGUUUCUAAUAGAUCCUCGGCUCAAGACAAAAACUGUCUAGAAAAAGAUGUAAUGAAAGUAAAAGAGCCAAUGGAUAUAACAAAAACAAUAUAUAAUAGUAGAACAACACUAAAAUAAUACUACAAUUGAACUACACAAAAAAAAAAAGAUUGUAACAGAGAUCAAAGGACAAGAAACUACAAGAAUAGUACUACGACUACAAUAGAACAAAACCGUUUAUAGAUUUGACCUGUUUUAACUAUCCAUAUUCGAUCCAAACCGCCCAUUAACCACCUUUGCCAUAACAAAUGAUGAAAAAAAAUACCUGAAAAGAUAUGCGUAUUCAAGAUUUUCCGAAGGCGUCUCCAUCGAUUAUCCAUAGGUAGCCAUAUAACAGAGAAUUGGUGAUGGUUGUAUGCACACAUUACAUCUGGAACUGAUCUAGAAAAGGCUAAAUCUUGCUUUUGUAGGACUUCUUUAACACCAGCUGAUGAAGAUA
rnacentral:lncRNA from 1 species